UGGCACUCCGUUGGUUCCGACGACGACGAGGGUUCCUGCUGAUCCGAUCAACGGAACAGCAUUCUCAUGAAAUUAAUGUGCAAGUGGCUGAGCUCUCCACAGACACGUGUGCCCUUGACAUACCCUCAAUCUGUAAGCAUAUUAUGCUUUCAUA